UACGGGGGGGGCAAGCGUUGUUCGGAAUUACUGGGCGUAAAGGGCUCGUAGGUGGCCAACUAAGUCAGACGUGAAAUCCCUCGGCUUAACCGGGGAACUGCGUCUGAUACUGGAUGGCUAGAGUUUGGGAGAGGGAUGCGGAAUUCCAGGUGUAGCGGUGAAAUGCGUAGAUAUCUGGAGGAACACCGGUGGCGAAGGCGGCAUCCUGGACCAAUUCUGACGCUGAGGAGCGAAAGCCAGGGGAGCAAACAGG
rnacentral:rRNA from 1 species